rnacentral:rRNA from 1 species
AUGAACGCUAGCUACAGGCUUAACACAUGCAAGUCGAGGGGCAGCAUGGUCUUAGCUUGCUAAGACUGAUGGCGACCGGCGCACGGGUGAGUAACACGUAUCCAACCUGCCGUCUACUCUUGGACAGCCUUCUGAAAGGAAGAUUAAUACAAGAUGGCAUCAUGAGUCCGCAUGUUCACAUGAUUAAAGGUAUUCCGGUAGACGAUGGGGAUGCGUUCCAUUAGAUAGUAGGCGGGGUAACGGCCCACCUAGUCUUCGAUGGAUAGGGGUUCUGAGAGGAAGGUCCCCCACAUUGGAACUGAGACACGGUCCAAACUCCUACGGGAGGCAGCAGUGAGGAAUAUUGGUCAAUGGGCGAGAGCCUGAACCAGCCAAGUAGCGUGAAGGAUGACUGCCCUAUGGGUUGUAAACUUCUUUUAUAAAGGAAUAAAGUCGGGUAUGGAUACCCGUUUGCAUGUACUUUAUGAAUAAGGAUCGGCUAACUCCGUGCCAGCAGCCGCGGUAAUACGGAGGAUCCGAGCGUUAUCCGGAUUUAUUGGGUUUAAAGGGAGCGUAGAUGGAUGUUUAAGUCAGUUGUGAAAGUUUGCGGCUCAACCGUAAAAUUGCAGUUGAUACUGGAUAUCUUGAGUGCAGUUGAGGCAGGCGGAAUUCGUGGUGUAGCGGUGAAAUGCUUAGAUAUCACGAAGAACUCCGAUUGCGAAGGCAGCCUGCUAAGCUGCAACUGACAUUGAGGCUCGAAAGUGUGGGUAUCAAACAGGAUUAGAUACCCUGGUAGUCCACACGGUAAACGAUGAAUACUCGCUGUUUGCGAUAUACAGCAAGCGGCCAAGCGAAAGCGUUAAGUAUUCCACCUGGGGAGUACGCCGGCAACGGUGAAACUCAAAGGAAUUGACGGGGGCCCGCACAAGCGGAGGAACAUGUGGUUUAAUUCGAUGAUACGCGAGGAACCUUACCCGGGCUUAAAUUGCAGAUGAAUUACGGUGAAAGCCGUAAGCCGCAAGGCAUCUGUGAAGGUGCUGCAUGGUUGUCGUCAGCUCGUGCCGUGAGGUGUCGGCUUAAGUGCCAUAACGAGCGCAACCCUUGUUGUCAGUUACUAACAGGUUCCGCUGAGGACUCUGACAAGACUGCCAUCGUAAGAUGUGAGGAAGGUGGGGAUGACGUCAAAUCAGCACGGCCCUUACGUCCGGGGCUACACACGUGUUACAAUGGGGGGUACAGAGGGCCGCUACCACGCGAGUGGAUGCCAAUCCCAAAAACCUCUCUCAGUUCGGACUGGAGUCUGCAACCCGACUCCACGAAGCUGGAUUCGCUAGUAAUCGCGCAUCAGCCACGGCGCGGUGAAUACGUUCCCGGGCCUUGUACACACCGCCCGUCAAGCCAUGGGAGCCGGGGGUACCUGAAGUGCGUAACCGCGAGGAGCGCCCUAGGGUAAAACUGGUGACUGGGGCU